rnacentral:ncRNA from 2 species
CGUGCUUGCUAGAGGUGUCGCCUGCGGGUGACUGAGACAUACUCUUUGAACCUGAUCUGGGUCGUACCAGCGUAGGGAAGCUUCAUUUUUUCCUU